rnacentral:lncRNA from 1 species
UUACUACUGUAUCAUACUACUGUGACAAUUUACUGUUGGGUACUUUGAUACUUCCAUCUCGUGGUUAUCGAGGUUCCUGAUCUGCAUCAGGAGAGUCCAUUAGGACUUGCAAAAUAUCAGUGGCUCUGAUCCACUCACAAAUAUACAACACUGCUGCUUCCACACGUACGCACGUUGGCCCAGAUUAGUCUGGUAUCAGAGCCAUUUUUCAUGCC